rnacentral:lncRNA from 1 species
AAAUUCAAAAAUAAUAGUUAGUUACUAUGUUCAUUUUGCAUAAGUCCAGUGGUUUGUUAUAGUUAAGUUUAUUUUGGCCAAUGAUGAGAUUGGAAUUGGGUAGACAAGUAUAAUACUGACUAUUAGAGCUUUGAUGUGAUUUCUUGUUAUGAAUUGAAUCUUUUUCUGUUUGAAACUAGUAUAAUAAUGAUAGCACAGUAAAAAUAACUUGUUGAUUGAUUGAGUUUAAAUUGAUACAUAAUG